CGAGUAGAGUGAAGCCAAGGAUGAAUUGCCGGCUGACUUUAGGAAUUCAAUGGGGAUGCCUUUUGAGCUUCUCAUUGCAAGUCCCCAAUUUCUGUUGGCAAUUCAUUCUUGGCUACGUUGGCCUCUCU
rnacentral:pre_miRNA from 1 species